GAAUUAUGAGCCACUUUGAAGGUACCAAAAUACCAACCUGAAACAACUCACAAUGGCUGCGAAGAAUGGAAAAAACAUUUGCCAGGACCAGUGCUACCCGGCCUUCCUGCACUCCAUUGGAGAACAGGAGUGGUACAGAGCCACUGCGAUGCUGAGUCCACAGUGGCAACAGACACCAACUGGCAUCUCCAUGAAAAGUCACAACUGACCGCCUGGCUGCCAAGAUCUUUGAGUUUGAGGUCUGGCCCUACAAUGAAGGUGCUGUCACUCUGAGUAUCAGUUGUCAACUCUGGCAAAAUACAGGGGAGCUGUCAGCUAACAGGA